UCCGAAAAUACCACUAGACUCCAUUCGUUGCUACCGUCAUUUCUACCGGAGUGGAUCGGUGGUAGGAGCGGCGUAGGCAUAUUCCCUGGGGAAUUAGAUUUCGGGCGCCAAGGGCGUGAAAUUUUGGGUCCUAAGGAAUUUCUCAAUAGUCAGGAGCUCCUGAGAGACUGGCGGGUCAGGGCCGCCGUUGAGCUAGUGAGAUUACCCUGUGAGAAGGGUAAGAUUUUGUAAUAGUGUCAGAGUUAUUUUGUGUUUGACCCUAGAGAUAUUUGGAUGUUUGUGAGG